AUGCCGUCGACUUCCGCAGCAGCCGCUCAGCGUGUGGAGGAGGAGCUGGUGGAUGAGGAGCUCGAGGACGAGGAACUCGAGGAUCUUCCAUGCCUCCAGGUCGAGCCCCAACUCGCUCCAGGACAUAGCGCCGCCGCCGGAGCCGGCAAGUCGGGCUUUGUAGAAAAGGGGAUCCUUCCCUCUGGAUCUCCUGGUGCGGACGAAGAGAAGCGGCGAGACCAGGGGGAGGAGGCGGCCGGCGCGUGGCGAGGCGACGGAGCAGGCAGCGAGACGGCGGAGCAGGCGGCGAGGCGGCGGAGCAGGCGGCCGGCGCAUGGCGAGGUGACCAAGCAGGCGCGAUGGGCUGCGUGGCUUGUCGGAGGAAAGGAAGGGGGUAUUCGUAAAAUGUCCGCGUGGACAACUUUUCUCGGACGGAGGGAGUACAACAGAACAAACUGA
rnacentral:rRNA from 1 species